rnacentral:piRNA from 1 species
UAAGUUAUAGGAUUGCUGGGGGCU